rnacentral:rRNA from 1 species
CAGCCGCCGCGGUAAUACCGGCGGCCCGAGUGGCGGUCACUAUUAUUGGGCUUAAAGCGUCCGUAGCCGGGUUGGGAAGUCCUCCGGGAAAUCUGGCCGCUUAACGGUCAGAAUGCCGGAGGAUACUCCCAGCCUAGGGAGCGGGGGAGGCCGAGGGGAUUCCCGGGGUAGGGGGGGAAUCCUAUAAUCCCGGGAGGGCCACCUGUGGCGAAGGCGCUCGGCUGGAACGCGUCCGACGGUGAGGGACGAAGGCCAGGGGAGCAAACCGGAUUAGAUACCCGGGUAGUCCUGGCUGUAAACGAUGCGGACUUUGUGUCGGACAAGCUAUGAGCUUGUCCGGUGCCGGAGGGAAACCGUUAAGUCCGCCGCCUGGGGAGUACGGCCGCAAGGCUGAAACUUAAAGGAAUUGGCGGG